rnacentral:rRNA from 1 species
UCCUCCCUCUUUCUUCGUGCUUAACACAUGCAAGUCGAACGGAAAGGCACUGAUUUUGUGGGGUGCUCGAGUGGCGAACGGGUGCGUAACACGUGAGUAACCUGACCUUGACUUUGGGAUAACUUCAGGAAACUGGGGCUAAUACAGGAUCGGAGCUCCUGCUGCAUGGUGGGGGUUGGAACGUUUCGGCGGGUGGGGAUGGACUCGCGGCUUAUCAGCUUGUUGGUUGGGUAGUGGAUUACCCAGGCUUUGCAGGGUAGCCGGCCUGAGAGGGUGACCGGCCACAUUGGGACUGAGAGACGGCCCAGACUCCUACGGGAGGCAGCAGUGGGGAAUAUUGCACAAUGGGCGGAAGUCGGAGGCAGCAACGCCGCGUGCGGGAUGACGGUCUUCGGGUAGUAAACCGCUUUCGCCUGUUACGAAGCGUGAGUGACGGUAAUGGGUAAAUAAGCACCGGCUAACUACGUG